rnacentral:rRNA from 1 species
AACGAACGCUGGCGGCGUGGAUAAGACAUGCAAGUCGAACGGGACAGACCGAGUAGCAAUAUUUGGAAUGUUCAGUGGCGAACGGGUGCGUAACACGUGGAUAACAUUCCGGAAAGCGGGGAAUAGCCCAGGGAAACUUGGAUUAAUACCGCAUGUGGCCGCAAGGCUAAAGACGGGGACCGCAAGGCCUGUCACUUUCCGAUUGGUCCGCGGCCUAUCAGCCAGUUGGCGGGGUAAUGGCCCACCAAGGCUACGACGGGUAGCUGGUCGUAGAGGACGACCAGCCACACUGGAACUAAGACACGGUCCAGACACCUACGGGUGGCAGCAGUCGAGAAUCUUUCACAAUGGGGGCAACCCUGACGGAGCGACGCCGCGUGGAGGAUAAGGUCUUCGGAUUGUAAACUCCUGUCAUGCGAGAACAAGGUACUCAGGCUAAUAACCUGAUUGUUUGAUGGUACCGCAAGAGGAAGAGACGGCUAACUCUGUGCCAGCCGCCGCCGUAACAC